AUGGCAGGCUUUUGCUCUUCUUCCACUCUCUCUUCUGUAAGGUAAUUUUCAUUUUUCUUAAGCCUAUAACUACAACAAAUUUAUGACAACGCAUUUCAUGGGUUAUUCUUCCUAUUCUUCUUUUUUUCCACUCUAGAUAUCAUAUUUUGCUUCAGUUUAUAUUCCUAGAAGCUCAAGUGUAACAAUGUAGAAGUUCAUGUUAAUGUGAGUUUUAAUUAAUUAUAUUAAUCAUCUAGCUAGAACUUUGAGCGGAAUGGAUCGAUUUAUAUGUAGCAUUCCUAGUUGCCAAUGGUCUUUAGCCCAAGUGGCAAUCCGACCCCUUCUGGUGGUCUGAUUCCGGCAGCUCUAAAUAUAUAUAUAUAUAUUGAGAUCUCUCCUUUCAAGGAAAUUAGUUUAUGUUAUUUGAAUUCGCAAUGACACAAAUGGUUUCAGGCCAAAAAUUGCUCAAAGUUUGUCAAAAUAGAUGGAUCAGUAGUGAAGCCUUGUGAAAUUGUAUAAGAAUGCAAAAUAACUUUUUUUUUUUCUUCUUUUGAUGGAAUUUUCAAUGAAUUUACAUUAUUUUUCCAUGGAGUUGGCAGUGAUCCACCACUUAGUUGCUGAUAUUGGUGGGGGGUAGGAAAUUGUCUUGUGAUCUUGACUGUUUUUGCUUUCAAGGAGUAACAAGUUUGACUAAACUAAGCUAAUUUUUUGCUAGUCUCAAGUAAAUGUGGUUUUGUUCUUCCUCAGUUCACAUGGAAAGUUUAAGGAUUUAAAUUUCUAAUUUCUUCCUCUCUUCCGUUAAAACCUUUUCUCCUCAACCAAACAGGAAUUGAAGCUCUUCAUGUAGUAUAAGUUCUUACAAUUUAGAGGAAAACCAGGCUAUGCAAUUCUUCAUGUAUUACUAGUUCUAACAAUUUAGAGAGAGAGAGAGAGAGAGAGAGAGAGAGAUUCAAAUGUCACAUAUUCUUUGCUUUAUUUUUAUUUUUCUCUUUCAAGUUUAAUUAUCAUAAAGGCAAUGAUCAAUGAGCGUGGGAGUAAAGGAUCAAGGUUGUGUUUUCAGCAACUUUCGGACAUCUUGGUUGGUAGAAACUCACAGCAGAAGGACCAUACCAGGGAAACCACUUCAUCGGAGAAAUGUGAACAUUAAAGCAGAAGUGACUUAUGUGAAUGCUGAUGAAGCAAAGAAACUUAUAGCAGUGGAGGGAUACGCAAUUCUGGAUGUGCGGGACAAUUCUCAAUAUAACCGAGCUCAUAUAAAAUCAUGUUAUCAUGUGCCUCUUUUCGUUGAAAACCAAGACAAUGAUUUUGGUAAGGCUUUCUUCCUAUUAGCGUGUGUUGUUAUUACAUCAUUUAUCAUUUAUUAUGUUCUAUAUAUGCCUCCUUAAAAUUACAUGUAGUAUUCAGGGUUCCGUAACUUCUAUGGUUUUUCUUUAGCUAGUAAUUUACCGUGCAGGUACAAUCAUAAAGAGGACUGUGCACAACAAUUUUUCGGGUUUGUUCUUUGGGCUGCCAUUCACUAAACUAAAUCCUGAUUUCGUGCAAUCUGUUAAGAGCCAAUUUUCACCAGAAAGUAAACUCUUGCUUGUAUGCCAGGAGGGAUUGAGGUUGGUUUAUAAUUUGUUGAUUCAUGUUUAACCAUAUACUCUUAAAAUAUAUGGCUUCCAUUGAUCGCAUACCACUCUAUGUAGGAGUUUGCCAUAAUCAUCUGAAAUUUCUAAUCAAUUGAUAGUAAAACCCUCCUAAUUUAGGGCUGUCAAUUCGCAGACCCUCAUAGGGCUGUUUUGUGGGAGGAGUUAUCAAGGGUGCGUACUCGUUGGAACAAGUCCUGGUUUUUAUUUGGUGAUUUCAAUGUUAUUAGAUAUCCUUGCGAGAGGCUUGGCUGUGACUCUUUCAGCCCAGCCAUGUUUGCUUUUUCAGAUUUUAUAGAAAAUAAUUUCCUAGUGGAUUUACCAUUAGAGGGGGCUUCUUUCACUUGGUUUAGGGAUUCCGAACCGAAGUCUAUGUCCCGAAUUGACAGGACAUUGGUAUCUGCGGAUUGGGAGGAUCAUUUUGGAAACGUGUCUCAGAGGGUGCUUCCUCGGGUUAUUUCUGAUCAUUGUCCGAUUUUGGUGGAAUCUGGUGUUCUGGGGAGGGGGCGCGGUGCUUUUAAGUUUGAGAACAUGUGGUUAAAGGUGGAGGGUUUUGUUGAGAUGGUUCAACAGUGGUGGAUCAGGUAUUGCUUUACGGGAUCACCUAGCUUUGUUUUGGCGCAGAAAUUAAAGGCUCUUAAAGAAGAUCUAAAAAAGUGGAAUAAGGAGGUUUUUGGUGAUUUGGCUUUUAAGAAGAAGAGUUUGCUGUCUGAAUUAUUGGGUUUGGAUGCCAAGGAAGACAUUCUAGGCCUUUCGCAUGAGGAUCAAGCUCGCCGCACUCAGGUUAAAGGUGAGAUUGAAGUUUUAGCUUCAAUGGAAGAGACUUUUUGGAGACAAAAGUCCCGAGCUCUGUAUGUGAAGGAAGGUGAUAACAACACACGCUUCUUUCAUAGAUUAGCAAAUUCACAUAGAAGAGCUAAUCAUAUCAGUAGUGUCGAGGUGGAUGGGGUAUUAUAUGAGGAUGAACCUGCUGUGCGGGCUCAGGUGGUCCAAUUUUAUCAGGAACUUUAUACAGAAACGGACACGUGGCGUCCAACUGUGGAUGGGUUGGAUUUUGCUAGUAUUGGGGAGGAUGAUAGGUUGUCCCUUGAGAGGGAGUUCUCGAAAGAAGAAGUCUCCCAGGCGUUGGCAGAGAUGGAGGGGGAUAAAGCCCCUGGCCCGGACGGGUUCACCAUGGCAUUUUUUCAUAAAUGUUGGAGGGUGGUGGAGGAUGAUGUGAUGGCUGUUUUUAAGCAUUUUCAUAGGUUUUCAGUUUUUGAAAGGUCUCUUAAUGCUUCUUUCCUCACACUUAUUCCUAAGAAAUCUGAUGCUGUCAAUAUUAAGGAUUUUCGGCCUAUUAGUUUGGUGGGCAGUGUUUACAAGUUACUGUCUAAGGUGUUGGUGAAUAGGUUGAGGGUGGUUGUGAUGGUGUCUAACUCAAAAUUUAAGAAAAAUAAGAAAUAAAAAAAAAAUUUAAGGGAUUCAAAUCUAAAUCACAUCAGCAUGAUAUCCUAUCAUGAUGGAUACCAUAGAUUGUGGCAUCCUGAUCAAAAUACUCUUUUGGCCAGAAUCUUUUUACAGGUUAAAAUCUGAAGUCCAGUAUAAUAACAUCAACUAUAAGAGUGAAAUUAAUCAACUGAAAAUGUUAGCAAAAGCUGGAAGGGGUGUGUGCAUGGGUUUGUGUCUAUAUAUGUAUGUGUGCGUGUGUGUGUGUGUAAAUAUUGCUCCAUCCAUCCUAAAUGGAGCGAUGCUCUUUCCGUUUCUGUGCAUCCCAAAAAGAGUGUACUUUUGUAAAAGUCAAAGAACCCGAAUUUUCACUUUAUAACAUCCUUACAUCAAAUAGAUUAAAAGCAUUUAAAAAAAAUAAAUAAAAAGAGGAAAAUUCAGACUUAGCUGGCACCAACUAUAAUGUGAUGUAGCAGACAACAGCUACAGGCCCCAUUACAUCUAAGGUCUUCUUGACAGAACUUUGGCUAUGUCACAGUUUCUCAACCCAUUUAUAUAAAUAUAUAAAAGUAAGAUAUGUUUUAUUGCAAAAAGACUACUCAAUGUACAAUGGACACAGCAGUCUAAAGAAUACAAAAGGAAAAUUUUAAAUAGAGAGACAAUUGACUCCAUAAAUUCAGAAGGAAACUGGUAUGAGUGAAUCCCCAUGCUCGAGACCAAUCAAAUAAAUAACCGCUAAACAAAGCUAACAAUCGGGCUCCUGCUGUCUCCAUAUCCUCAAAUGUACGAAAAUUUCAGUCCUGCCCGAUUGUCCACAUCAAACAUAAUGGGACUAACCCCAUAUAUAUUGAAUGUAUAAAAAUAUACAUAUCAUAUACACAUUAUAUGCGUGUGCCCACACAAUAACAGUAGCAACAACCAAGCGGUGAUCCUAAAUUUUUUUGGCCCGGAUAUGGAUCCUCAAUAGAUGAGUCAAGGUCGGCCACAUGUAUUAUUUUCCACCAUUCUAUUCUAAUCCAAAGUCAUUCUCUAUUAUUUCCUUAAUUCAGUUAAUUGACAUGUACUUUUUUCUUACUAAUGUUAUUUUUGGUCUUCCUUUACCUUUUUCAUUUCCCUCAAUGAAUUAACUCACUCUUUCUCAUAGGUGCAUUAAUCGCCAUCCUCUAAACAUGAUCUAAUCAUCUCACGCGACUCUCCCUCACCUUUUCAUCAAUAGGGGUGACCCCUAUCUUUAAGCAAAUUUCCCCAUUUCAAAUCCUAUCUUUCAGUGUAUUUCAACUUAACCAUCUUAAUAUUCUCGUUUCAGCUACUCAUUUUAUGAAUACACUCAUAAUUAUAAUAUAAUAUAAUAUAAUAUAAUAUAUAUAUGUAUAUCCCUUUAAUUUUAUUAUGGACAGGGUUCUGGCUACCGUGUCACAAGCACUCUAGGGCAAAGUGUGAAUCAAUGUCAAAGAUAUCAGUUGCAUACCAUUUUUUGGCACCAUUUUGAUAGAAUCAAUUCAUAUUAAAAACUGACAACCACAUACCAAUUUCAGGAUAUCAGUUGACCUUUAGAAAGACUGAUCCAAGACCUAACAACUACUACCAGGAAAUAUCUAGUCCUACUUCAGUGCAAGUGAAAGAAGAUCUCAUAUAUGGAAACUAG
rnacentral:sRNA from 1 species